CUGUAUAUAUAAAUAUAACUAUGUCUAAUAUUUUAUAUUGUUUCGCGUCAAGGCUCUUUACGUGUGGGGGGGGGCUGUUUUUUUUUCGUCCACAAAGACGAAGACUUCCCAUACUAUAUAAUAGUGGCGCGCUACAGUUAACGAAACUUUUUUUCGUGAAUCUAAUGUGAUAUUUUCAACUUUACACGAGUUUUAACGACC